AAAUCAGAGUUUGUUCUACAUAAAUAUAACAAAUACGUUUACAUGGAAUGCUUCACUAUCAAAGUCGCGUCAAUACAGUACAAAAGGAGUCGCGAGUACAUUUUACAGACAAGUACAUUUAUUUGACAUAUCCGAAUGGGGGACUCUGAACUUCCUUCUUUUGUUAUCCGUCCAACGAUAUCGUUCAACAAGGAUUCGUCGCUGUGAAAAAGACAGAUAAGGCGGAAGAAUCCGGCGGGCAACAAUCGCUUCGGACUUCGGUCAACGAAAGAAACGAAAAAUUUCCUCGAGAAAUUACUUUGUUGAAAAUUUCUUUGCUCGAUCGAUCACCCUUCCUCGAUCAUCUUUAUCGACGAAUAUCGACGAAUCCUCGUGAACAAAAUAUUUGCAAAAAGUAUACAUCAAUAGAUUCGUGUAGACGAAGGGCAACGAAACGAAUGACAUGACAUCAUAUAAAUAAAAAUGAAAGUGAAUCGCGACAGAAUUUCCAACUCGAAAUAAGAAUGUGAGAAAUGACCGCGAGAAAGGUAUCGAGAUCAUACAGGUACAAUUUCCAGUAUUCAAAUAAGUAUACGUAAACUUUAUUUCGUCAGAUUUAUCAUAUUGUGUUAAUGGUACGUAUGUAUAAAUAUAUACACAUAUAUGUAUAACUCUUACGUGCCAGUUUCGUUUACGUUGUUACAUUAUGCGCUGUAAUCAGAUAAGUUGAUUAGUCCUUACGUCUAAGGAAAGGAGAUUCGACGAACGCAACAAGAAUAAAUAACAAAAGGAUGAGAAACAGAA